rnacentral:rRNA from 2 species
AAAUUGAAGAGUUUGAUCAUGGCUCAGAUUGAACGCUGGCGGCAGGCCUAACACAUGCAAGUCGAACGGUAGCACAGAGAGCUUGCUC